CGUCUUCAGGGCAGGGUGAAAUUCCCGACCGGCGGUAAAGUCCGCAAGCCGAAAGGCAUGACCCGGUGCAACUCCGGGACCGACAGUAAAGUCUGGAUGAGAGAAGAUG
rnacentral:ncRNA from 1 species